GCUUGAUAUUGUUAAAGGCACAAGCUGAAUGCAAGUUGUAUCUACCAGAGGAUGGCGCAUUCUUGUGAGUUCUUCGAUGACGAGCCAACGGUGGAAAGUGGUCAAGAAUGUUUCACGCAAUUGGAAUACACCAUAAUGAUGUUAGCAUUAUAAAUGACAACAGAGAAAAAAAAAUGCGAUCUGGCCCUAUCAUAUCCAAGGCAGUAAUUAUUCUGCACAGGAGCCUCCUUCUUCAUCUUUUCUCCUGUGCUAGAGCUUCCCAAGGUGUAAACACAGGUUGAGGAAAUGCCAGUGAGACAACCAUUUUUUUUUCAAAACCACAUAGUUUAAGCUAAUUAAUCAAUUUACUGGAACUGACAUGUCUUCGGGUGAUGAGGCACAGUCUAUGCUGCAGAAAAAUUGGAGAAGUUGUGACUGUUUUUCUUGGAGAGGAGGAGAUUUGAUAGACGUUUUCAAAGUCAUGAGGAGUCUGGACAAACUCGAUAGGGAGAAACUGUUCACGCUCAACUUGAUUGACGACCAGAUGCCACACUUCUGGUGUUUCAAAGGAAGCAUAUACAAGAUGAGAAAAUCAUCUCUCAUAUACUGAGUGAUCCCAUUUUGGAGUGCACUGUCUGAAAUGUGGUUGAAGGGAUUUAAUUGAGGUAUUCAAGAGAACAUUGGUUAAUUAUUUAAAUUGAAACAACAUGCAGAAUUACAGGGAAAAGGCCAGAAAUUGGCGCAACAUUAAAAUGCUGAGAGAGCCAGUGCAAACAUGAUGGGUCAAAUGAACUCCUUCUGCAAGGAUAAGAAUCUUCGACUCUAUGAACUGCUGGAUUCAGUUAAGGUAUGGCCCACUGUGAGAGAGCAGCUUUAUAGCUCAUCCCCUACCAUUCUGAGAAAACCCUUUUUUUGGAGAGUUGGGUGUGAUAGCUAAAACAUUGAACCUGCUCUUCUCCUGAAAAUUCACUGAAAGAGUUAUUCUUGAUGAAUCCUUGUGACCUCUCUUGAAAGGUCUGUGUUGGAAAAUCGCAUUCACAACCACCUGUGUUUAGUGACACCUGUCUCAGUGUAAGUAGACUGAAAACCAAUUUGAACAUUUCAUCCUUAUCCUGUUUCCCUUCAAGAACUAACAAGUAUUGACCAAUGCUGUUUUAUCCCCACAGUUAAUCUUGUCUUAGAAAGUCUUGUUGAAGAUUUGAAGUUAUUUUCAGUGUGUGUUUGUGUGGUAGGAGGGCCUCAACUCUUUCUGCUUUAAU